UUUUCGUCUAGUGCCCUCUUUGGGCAUGGGAUGAACUCGUUGGUGCUUUGCGUGUUCCUUUGUAAGCCAUCGGCUCAUCUCUUGGCCCAUGCUCGGUUACCUGACCCUCGGAUGCUGAAAAUUAAGUGGGCAAGGGGUUGAGAAACCCCUCCGAUAAGCCCGAGCCUAGCGCUCGUCGCUCGAACCGAAAGACGUUGUGGCUCGCCUUGGUGUUCUUGAACCAUGGGUUCUCGUAACGGCCAUGCGUUGUCCCAAUCG
rnacentral:misc_RNA from 1 species